UUUCAACAUGAUGAUAACAUAACCCAGCUCAUCCGAAAGACAUAAAUCAUGAGGAUAAUCCUACAUGCAUCACAAUCUGAUUGAAA
rnacentral:snoRNA from 1 species